CGUUCAACACGACGACGUUGAUAGGCCGGGUGUGUAAGCGCAGCGAUGCGUUGAGCUAACCGGUACUAAUGAACCGUGAGGCUUAACCUUACAACGCCGAAG
rnacentral:rRNA from 1 species